GCUUACGGCCAUACCACCCUGAACACGCCCGAUCUCGUCCGAUCUCGGAAGCUAAGCAGGGUCGGGCCUGGUUAGUACUUGGAUGCGAGACCGCCUGGGAAUACCAGGUGCUGUAAGCU
rnacentral:rRNA from 15 species